CCCACAUCUGAUAAACAGGAGAAUACAGGUAAACAAGAGGCUCACCUCCCCCUGCCUGCUCGCUGCCUGCUGCUGCUACCUUUGUUUGCCGCUGCUAUCGCUUUACGUGCUUCUGUGAGCUGCGACACUUUGCAUCGUAAUCAGGCCUGAAUACAGGUAACGACCCAGCGGACGACCGCCGCGGGUUCCUGGCCGGCCUGGGAGCUGCCGACCCCGCUGCUACACAGCACCCCGUCGGAUUAUCUCCAGCCUGUUGCCCAGCCGGCAGACUAUCUGACGACCUCCUGAGAGCCGUGGCAGACUCCUCUCGUGCCCGUGGACCAUCCUCGGGCGGCGUGCCCCAAUUUGGACUGAAGUGGCAACAAGCCACAUGGCAGCAGCCACACAGGUGAAGCCUCACCCACGCGGCUUUCACCAGACAGCUAUUCCUGCCUAUGCUCUUGGAACGCAGAUAUUAGGGCUUCCGACCAGCGAGUGUCUGAACUCUCUUAAUUCAAGCUGCUUAAAGAAUUUGAUUAACCUUACCAGCGGCACUUCAUGCGGUGCGAUGCCGCCUAAGGGUCGCGUCAGAAGCAAGCUACCAGUUCCUCUUCCAAGAGACAUGAUCCUGAAAGACACCGAAGGAAAAAGCUGGAGACUGGGAAGUCAGAUCGGCCAGGGAGGUUUUGGCUUGAUCUAUUUAGCUUCCCCUCAAAUUCAUGUUCCUGUGGAAGAUGAUGCAGUGCAUGUAAUUAAAGUGGAGUAUCUUGAAAACGGCCCAUUGUUUUCUGAACUGAAAUUUUACCAGAGGGUUGCAAAACAAGAGCACAUAAGAAAAUGGAUGAAUCUCAAAAAAAUAAAAUGUUUAGGAAUUCCAGUGUUUUGGGGAUCAGGCUUGGCUGAAUACGAGAGAAAAAGCUAUAGGUUCAUGGUCAUGGAGAGACUGGGGGAAGACCUUCAAAGAAUCUUUGAAGAUUGUGGAAGCAGAUUUAAGAAGGAGACUGUUCUCCAACUUGGGGCACGAAUGUUGGAUACUUUGGAAUAUAUACAUGAAAAUGAGUAUGUUCAUGGUGAUAUUAAAGCAGCAAAUCUACUUCUGGGCUACACCAAUCCACACGAGGUUUAUCUUGCAGAUUAUGGACUUUCCUACAGAUAUUGUCCCAAUGGGAACCACAAACACUAUCAAGAAAAUCCUAGGAAGGGCCAUAAUGGAACAAUAGAGUUUACCAGUAUAGAUGCCCACAAGGGAGUAGCCCCAUCGAGACGAAGUGACCUUGAAAUCCUUGGCUACUGUAUGCUGAAAUGGUUGUGUGGGAAGCUGCCCUGGGAACAGAACCUGAAGGACCCUGUAUCCGUCCAGACUGCAAAAACCAAAUUUAAGGAUGAGCUCCCAGAUUCAUUGUUGGAAUGGGAUUCUUCUGGAAGUGGCUCUAGUAAGUGUGAAAUAUCUAAGUUUUUGGCAUGUGUUUAUGACUUGGCUUAUGAUGAGAAGCCAAAGUAUCAAGUGCUCAAGAAAAUCCUGCUGGAUGGACUGGAGUCAAGUGGAACUUGCUAUGAUGGCCCUCUGGAGUUUUCUGCUGCAGCCUGCAUGCAAAAUCACUGCGCUGCUAAAGCCUCAAAACAAGUUCGCUUACCAAAGCCUGUGCCAAAACCUGUUCAGCAGAAGCAAAAGAAGAAGGAAGGUGAACAAAACAUCUAUCACAGCAAAGCAUGUAUAGGGAAAACAGGAAAACAACUGCAAGGUGAAGAAAAGCCAAGCAAAUUUACCAGGAUACCUCACCAAACGGAGCCUCAGCAGCAUACAGAAUUACUGCCUGCCCCGCAACAGGUUUUCUUGCCAGUGCAACAGAAGCAAAUCAAGGGGAAGGAGGAAGAACCGAACUGCCUAACCAGGUCCCGUGCUCGGGUGCUAUGCCAGCAUUUCCAGUCUGAAGGGAAGCCAAUGCAGUGUUACACCCCAAUGCAGAAGCUUGAGCACUCACAGAAGUAAAAACAGAAGGAAGAAGACAGUGUUAAGCAGUAAAAGCCAGUCACCUCCACAGUAUACUCCUGGACUAGAGCAGCAAAUAUAUUUUCUUUACAAGACACCCCAUCAUCCUCGAAAGGUCUGCCAUUUUAAGGGGUAAGCUGCUCAAAAACAUUCUGGACUCAUGUUAAAAACCUCACAGCAAAUUCUCUUUUAAAUAAAACCGGGUGAAACCCACAUUUUUUGGUAAUUAAGAGGUAUGUUAGGCUCACCCUCCUUGAGGAAACUGGAAUGAAUGAAAUCAAAGUUUAGUCAUAACUGAAGAUUGUCUGUGACUGACAACAAAGAGCUCAAAGCCUUGUACUGCCCUCCGCUGAUCUGACACGAGGUGCUUUUUGAGGCUUUUAUUUCCUUUUCAUUGGUCUGUGUCAAAGUACAGCUGAAGUAAGAUAAAGCCACCCUGGCUGCACACACACAAAAGUAUGUUGUCCGACCCAUGUCAUUUUAGCCAGUUGCCGAACUUUUUCCGUCCCUCCCUCCACCCACCAAGAAAGGAGCAGCAACAGCACCCCACUAGCUCCUUCCCUUCUUCACUCUGCAGGCAAUCAGCCUUUCCACAGCUUCUGGGGACAACCUAGGUCUACUUUGGUCCAUUGUACACUCUUAGAUUUCCACAAUGUUUCCACAAUUGGUAUUUUGGAUUUAAGCUGAAAAUUGGUACUCUUCUCUCAAAGAUAACAUUCCUCCUGCCCCAACCCUGUGUGUCUAACCGCUGACAACUGUCUCCUUCACAACUGCUAGACAACUGAUCCGAUACAUAUUACGCACUUAAAAUACCAGAGACAUCAGCAUAUGAAUUAAGAUACUUUUUCAGAUGGUUAACAUUGUAAGCCUCUAAUUUUCUUAUUUCUUAUCCUUUUCACGUGCCCCUUAACCCCUUCUGCUAGUUUUGACUGCACUCUACUAUUGCUUUCAUUCUUCCAGAACAGGAUCAACCUCAAGUAAUUGUUGAAAAAACCAGAGUUUGUGAAUGCAUUAAGGGUGUGAUCUAAGCUCAUUUUUCUGGAGUUACCAGUUUCUGACAGUUACUUGUUCACUGUUUAACAAUACAGCCUAUUUUCCUGCAGAAACCUUCUGUUCAUGUAGCACGAUACAGUUGUAAUUAAUUUCCUGAACAGGUUCAGCAUUCUGUGAGAGGUUAUUUUGUUUAAUACACAAAAUAAGAGUUGUGUCUUGCAGGAUUUAAGUGCCGCCUUUUAUUUUCCUAACUCCUAAUAAGCACCAUCUGAUUACCUAAGCAAACCAGAACAGCACCCCUUUAUUUUCCAUCCACUGUACUCCUUCAAAUCUUGAUGUACCUAUUGCAAUUCUCCUUGUUGUGGCACUCCGUGUAGGGUUUUCAGGCUGAAGCACCCAGGUCUUUCCAUCAAUCUCAUCCAUGGCAUCCCAGAAUUCCUUCAGCACUUCUAAUGCUGCCAGGAACUGGUUAUAUAUGUCUAGUAAAGAGCUCUAAGAAAGGAAGAAAUUGGAAAUGGACUGGAAUUGAAACGAGGCAUGUAAAAAUAGCUGUAUCGUGCAUACAGCACAGAAUCUGUUUAUCCAAAAUGAGAACUGCAAAGCCUCCUAAUGUAAAAGGUAUCCACUUUCUGAAGACAGCUCCUACAGAGUAUCUUGGGUUUCCCUGUUUUAUCAAAUCGACAGCAGACAAGUUAAGUAACAGUGACAGAGAAAAAAAAUGGAACAACUACUUUGGACAGGAGGUGGUUACAGCUUAGAAAUGUAUAGCCACAAAAGCUGUUACAGUUUCUUUUAUUGCAGUGCUACUCUUCUUGCAUUGUAGGUAUUAUUUUUCAGGAACUACUUUAAUGCUUGCAUAGAAAUGAACUUGUUUUCAAUGUAUAAAAGUAUGCCUACAACAAAGUCAGAACAAUUUUACCAUGGGAUUGGUUUUGGGACUCCCUCAUUUAAAUCCCAGCAGCACUAGCCAAUUAUGUGUUUACUUUCUUGUAAGUAAAUUCAUUUUAUGCAGGCUUUUGCGGGGUGCCUUUGAAAAGUGCUUGCAAACAGAUUCUACUAUCUUUAUGUUAUGUGAAAACAACCCAAACCAUAAUACCUACAGCACACUUUUCCCUGCAUUUUUAGUCAAAUUUUCUUUAAGAGCACAAUGUUGUACUGUACACUAGAUAAGUGCCAAGAACUAUGCAAUGAUGGUUCUGCACAUAUGUACAGAAUGAUUCCAGACCUAGCAGAGGGAAAUCCUAUAUGAGUGAUUCCCCAGGAGACAGCAUUAAUGCUAUAACAUUGCUUAUCAGUGGUAUCAUGUUACUACAGAUACACUCAAAUGCCUAUGUAAGAAGUUAUCCUGUUAUCCUUUAGAACUAUUUAAGCAAUUAUUAAAACAAAUAUGCAUUGGAAACCUAUUUCACAAGAUGUAGUCUGAGCAUUAAACAAUACGUCCUCUUA